rnacentral:rRNA from 1 species
GAUGAACGCUGGCGGCGUGCCUAAUACAUGCAAGUAGGACGCUGAAGCUUGGUGCUUGCACCGAGCGGAUGAGUUGCGAACGGGUGAGUAACGCGUAGGUAACCUGCCUCUUAGCGGGGGAUAACUAUUGGAAACGAUAGCUAAUACCGCAUAAAAGUCGAUAUCGCAUGAUAUUGAUUUGAAAGGUGCAAAUGCAUCACUAAGAGAUGGACCUGCGUUGUAUUAGCUAGUUGGUGAGGUAACGGCUCACCAAGGCGACGAUACAUAGCCGACCUGAGAGGGUGAUCGGCCACACUGGGACUGAGACACGGCCCAGACUCCUACGGGAGGCAGCAGUAGGGAAUCUUCGGCAAUGGGGGCAACCCUGACCGAGCAACGCCGCGUGAGUGAAGAAGGUUUUCGGAUCGUAAAGCUCUGUUGUAAGAGAAGAACGAGUGUGAGAGUGGAAAGUUCACACUGUGACGGUAACUUACCAGAAAGGGACGGCCAACUACGUG